rnacentral:rRNA from 1 species
AGCUCUAAUAGCGUAUAUUAAAGUUGUUGUGGUUAAAAAGCUCGUAGUUGGAUUUCGGCGGGUACGGGUCAGUUCGCACUGAAGCGACACUGGUUCCCAGCACCCGUGUGUUUGGCCGGAGCCUGGGAGGUGCUCUUCACCGAGUGUCUGUCGGGGCCGGCAGGUUUACUUUGAAAAAAUUAGAGUGCUCAAAGCAAGCGUCUCGCUUGAAUAUUCGUGCAUGGAAUAAUGGAAUAGGAAGUCGUAUCUAUUUUGUUGGUUUUCUGAUAUCGACUUAAUGAUUAAUAGGGAUAGUCGGGGGCAUUUGUAUUCAAACGACAGAGGUGAAAUUCUUGGACCGUUUGAAGACAAACUACUGCGAAAGCAUUUGCCAAGAAUGUUUUCA